UUAACAUUUAGAGCAGACCUUUAAAUUAACAAUUGAACACAGAACACAGCAAACUAAUCAGAUUUCGCCCUCUCCUCUUCAGCCUCAUGCGUGGAUGGCGGUUCUUAGUCUGUGCAAGUUCGUUGUUGACGCUGCUCUGACACAUAUUUGCAUUUUACGCGUGGACGCGAGUUCGGGCUGUGGACCAAGACUUGACUGUUUGGUGUCGACGCACAGAUCCAUGUGGAUCAGAACCAGAGCACGGUCGUCCCAGUCACUCUGAUCAUCUGAGGUUCUGAGAGCAAACCCGUCCAUCAGGGUUCUGGAGGCACAGAAUGGAACAGAGCUCAGAGCUGCAUGUUCUGGUGAACACCAGGCUGAUACCACGAAGCAGCUGCUGUGGAGCCUAGUUCCACUGCAGACACAGACCACACGCCUCUUCCUGUCACUGGGUGCAGACUGGUGCACAGUGUGUGUCCAGCAGAGGUCUACCACAUCUCCUCGCACAGACAUCAUCGGCCGCUCGCAGCUCACGCUCACAUCACGAACCAACAACCACAGGACGCUUUGUGUCAGGUUCCCAGGCUGCAUGCGACUCAUAGACGGCAGCGUGUGGAGGAACCAGCCUACCCCAGCUAUCUACGGGCCAGAGGCGAAUACACCCUGGACAGACCGCCAGUCCAUCACAGGGAUCCUGAGUCUCACUCUGCAGACGGCUUUAAGGUGGUGCUGCCACCAUGUGGUGAAAGGAUGAAUUACCUGUCUGUGCUUCAGCGUCGCACAGCGUUUUCUGUUGCUCACUUUACCUUGUUUAUGCACCGUUUACUGAGCUUUCUUCUGACAUGCACAACAAUAGCAUUUCCCUGAUGCAUCCAUCAGAGAUCAGCCAUGAUCAUGCAGCAGCUCUGGGCUGCUCCAUCUGCAUGAUCUCAGGGAGGUCAUGCAGAUCCCACCUCCAUUGGGCCCAGGAGGGUGUCUCUCUCCUUGUAUUAUGGCAAUGUUGUGAAGGACAACACAAGCAGCUAUAAUGUCACAUGCCCUCUCUGGACCGACCCCGAGGCCACAUAGACACUGGAACCUCGCCUUGGCCCGUGUUCACAGCUGAUUCCAUCCAUGAGGUGCAGAGAUACCUGACAGAGUGCAGUAUCACCAUGUCCCAGGAUGAGAUACUGGGUACUGGGUGACCCAAAAGAUAAUCUAAUCCAUCAUUCACAUGAUCACUUAGACUUUCACGUUAUAAUACAUCUUCACAUCUACACUUCAUCGACUAUAUCUAAAAAUAUAAAUUUAAAUUAAGAUAUGAAAUAAUACUAUAUAAAAUAAUGGCUUAAAUUAUAAUAUUGUAUAUAUCAGAUCAUCAUAGAGUUUUGCAAUGUGCCGAAACGCUUCAUGACGCCGUAAAUGCCCAUCACUUCUGUUCAGAGACCACUGGUAAAGAACCUCGGAGACUGAGCAGUUCCCUGAGGUGUCUGUGAGCUGCCUGAUCACUGUUAUCGGAUGUUUAGAUGUUUUAAUUCUUCAGGACACAUUGGUCGCGGGUUAUUAGGGAGAGUAUUUUUUACUGAAUUCAGUGAAUAUUUCUCAACGUACACAAAUUGUAUCACUUCUUUAAAAUUUCAGUAUGUUUCCAUGCGACGUUAGCUCAAUAUCAUUUCCACUACAGUAAGUUUGACGGCUCUUCUCAGUGAUCCAAACACGUUUACCGUAAACAUUGGAAGAGUCGCGCACUGAUUGGACCACAAAAAACAAACGGCGGUUACUGG